rnacentral:tRNA from 1 species
CUCUGGUAAGCUCAGUUGGUGGAGCGCUCGACAGGAAAUGGAGAGGUCCCGGGUUUGAUACCCGGACCGGGCG